GAUGAACGCUAGCAGCAGGCUUAAUACAUGCAAGUCGAGGGGCAGCAUGAAUGUAGCAAUACAUUUGAUGGCGACCGGCAAACGGGUGCGGAACACGUACACAACCUUCCUAUAAGUGGGGAAUAGCCCAGAGAAAUUUGGAUUAAUACCCCGUAACAUAAUGAUGUGGCAUCACAUUAUUAUUAUAGCUUCGGCGCUUAUUGAUGGGUGUGCGGCUGAUUAGAUAGUUGGCGGGGUAACGGCCCACCAAGUCUACGAUCAGUAGCUGAUGUGAGAGCAUGAUCAGCCACACGGGCACUGAGACACGGGCCCGACUCCUACGGGAGGCAGCAGUAAGGAAUAUUGGUCAAUGGACGCAAGUCUGAACCAGCCAUGCCGCGUGAAGGAUUAAGGUCCUCUGGAUUGUAAACUUCUUUUAUCUGGGACGAAAAAAGGCUAUUCUUAGUCACUUGACGGUACCAGAUGAAUAAGCACCGGCUAACUCCGUGCCAGCCGCCGCAGUAAGAC
rnacentral:rRNA from 1 species